GUGCUCACUUCAGCAGCACAAAUACUAAAACUGGACCAAUACAGAGUAGAUUAGCAUGGACCCUGAGCAAAGAUGACACACAAAUUCAUAAAGUGUUCCAUAUUUUA